rnacentral:misc_RNA from 1 species
GAGCCAUUGAGCCUUAUAGAGAGACUGGAGCUGAGAAGAGCAGCUUGCUGAAAGCGUUCUCCUUUUUCGACUCACAACUCCACCUUCGUCGCCGGUACCUCCACAAAUUCCGGUAUGCUUAUUGCGGCUCAAAUCGAAAAGUGGGAGAGAGACAAUUGAAGAGAGACAACCUGCCCAGUCGGAUCACAACCUUCUUUUCACCUCUGGCCAUUGCUAGUCUGCGAAGAAGCUACUGAUAGAAUUGAAGCAAUUUCUCGAAAAUUUCUGGUAGAAGAAAUGAUAAGAACAGGUGGCGUUGCGUUGCGAUCCAUUAUCAGUUACUUGUCUGUCCGAAGACUCACUCCCCAUUUCGUUAAACCUCUCUCUACAAAUGCUACUUCAGGUGAUAGAAUUGAUGAUAAAGAAAGUCCUAAUUCUUUUGAGUCACGUGAUGAGUUUGAGCACCGGAUAUUUGGUGGCAUUUCUGGGAGCAGCUCAGCUACUGACUCCUUUUUCCAAAAGCUUGACAGACUUGCGAACACUCGCAACAGGACUGGUUCCAUACGGAAUGAAGGAGAUAGUUGGGAAGGUGAUGGUUUGGAGGGCAUAGAUGAGAGUUCUGACUCGUUAUCCGAUAGAAUGGAUGAGAAGCUGAGGAAAUGGGCAGAAUAUUUUGGAUUUGAUCCUGAGGAAACAGAACAAGAUGGCUAUGAGUAUAGACCAGAUGUUAAUUUUCAAAUUGAUUCAACUUAUGACAUCAAGGUAUGCAGUAUAGUGGCCACUGGAUCUGUAAUUAGAGAAUUGCAGUUUGGUUAUAUUGGUUCCUAGAAGUAUUUUGAAAGCUCUGGCCUUUUUAUCUGCAUGUCACUUUACGUUUGCAAUGUUUCUGAACAUAUAUUAUGCAGAAAUUAAUUUGAUUUCUGUAGCUUUAAUAUGAGAAAGAAUGAAAACUUGAAGAGCUCUAUUAGAGCUUAAAGUAGAGCUCCAUUAGGUGCAGAAACUAUGUGAUGAAAAUUUGGAAUUUGGAAGUUGUGUUUUGAUGAAGUUUUUGGAAUUUAUUAAAAUAAUAUAUGGCACCCACUGUCCAUUUAGUUUAUUUUCUAUCUAUAAACUAUUUGAAAAAUAUUGGAGACCUAAUGGAAUUGGGAGGAUCUUUUAUGAAAAGAAUUAAAAGAAAAGAAGAAAAAAAGGCCUUAAACCAUUUGAAGCACAGAUUUGAACUGAAUGUUAAAUCUUCCCUUCUGCCUUCUGCUGCCACUAUGUUUUAUGACUUAUGACGCAUACUUCUAAUUAUGCUAGUCACUCAAAUUUUCAUUUCAUGUUCUUUUUGACAAAAUUCCUUGGAUAAUGGAAGUAAUGGAUUUGUUGGUGAAUCUUUUUGUGGUUGUACAACUGCCAUCAAUUCUGUAAGUCGUUCCCUCCCCUCCCUCCGACCACCACCACACACACACACACUUGUGCUCAUUUUGCCGAUGGAAUAAUUAUGUUAAAAUCAUUGGCAGGUUGGAUUUCAUUAUUGCCUACUAUUUGCAUGACUGAUUUUUGGGAUAAAGGCGUAGUUGAGUUGAGUUGAGUUUAUUUGUAUGAUUGAUUUCAUGUGCAAAUCUAUGUGAAUUUUUAUUAAAUUAAAUCCAAUUUUAUCCGCUGAUGUUAUAGUUUGAUGUUAAAAAGCAAAUUGUUCAUUGCAAUUCUAGAGUUGGUCUGAAAUCAAGUACUCUUAGCAAUUUAACAAUGUGAAGUUCUAUGACUCAAUUUUUUUUUUUUGGGAAAAAAUAAAAAAGCUUUUUCUGUCAUCUCAUUCUGUCUGCAUAGAACUUUGACAAUUUUCAGCUUGUCCUCUUUCCUUUGGUACGCAUCCUUUGCUGCUGGAGGUGUCAUUUUGUUGAUUUGUACUUACUUUUCAUUCCAUUUUAAUGCUCAUACUUAUCUCGCCUAAGCAUUGUAUGGCUUUGUGCAGGAUCUUGAUCUUAGAAAGCCAGGAGUACGUAAACCUGUCAAAAGGCCAGAGUUUAAAGUAACAACAGAGGAAGUUCUGAGAAAAGCUGACUUCAGGGUGAGCUUAUCGUUUAUCUUUUUUUCUUUUUUAUUUCCAUUCUUAUGAAACCAUGAAUGUACAAAUAGGAUAACUUGAUGAUGAGUUGGUCGAAUCACCUGAAAUUCCAUGGUGCAUUGUUACUGCCAAUAUAUAUCAGUACCUGGAUUAGUGGUUUUUUUCCCACUGAUUAUGAUUAGUUGUUGGCACAUCGGUUGUGGUUGGGGAGUUGGUGUCAUUGCCUUGGGUCUCUGAAGAUGAUGUGUCUAUCUCAUUUGUAUCUUUCCUAUAUUAAUAUCAAUUUGGUCAGGUCAUGAUAUCCUGGUAGAACUACUAUUUUUGACAUAAUGAGUUAAUUGUGGAAUCUUUUGUAACAAAACAGUUUUUAGGUUCUACAUUUUCCUUUGUGAAUUCUGUCAUCAACUUUUGGUUAGAUGUUGGUUUGAUCCCAGCAGUGAUUACAAUUAUGCUUUUACUCGCUCAUUGAAGGAUAACUGCGUAUUUGUAUUUUUUAUUUAUCAUAUUUCUGAAAAAUGGCUUCUGAAAUAAAUUUAACCUAUGGCCAUUCCUUAAUAAUUCUUGAAAUUUAGGUGCAUGUUUAAGUUUGUGGAAUUUUCUGUGCAGAAUGUUGAAUUCCUUGCAAACUUCAUAACAGAGGCUGGAAUUAUUAUUAAGAGGAGCCAGGUAAUAUGAAUUAUGGACUGCAAAAUUCAAACAGUGUAGUUCAUUGAGUCAGUGAUAAAAGAUGUGACACAAUUCUUGUUGUUCAUUUUUUAGACUGGCAUAAGUGCCAAGGCGCAGAGGAAGGUUGCAAGGGAGAUCAAAACAGCUCGAGCUUUUGGUCUAAUGCCUUUCACCACAAUGGGUACAAAAUCAUUUGUUUUUGGGAAAACUAUGGAGCAUCUUGACAGGGACUUUGCAUAUGCGAGUGUCAAUGACCAGGUAGAGGAUGAUGCAAAUGUCGACCCUCAAGAAAAUUAGGAUGCGAUGUGAAAUUAACGUUAAGCUCUUCGACCCAAUUGUUCUCUUGGUUCGCCCGUUUGUUGGUGGGUGGCCCUGAUAAAUGUUCUUAAAAUUUAUAAAUUAAAUAAUUUUUUAUUAAAAUUUAUGCUUUAAAUUUAGAAAUUUAUGAAAUUUUGUGGUCAAAAUUUUGAAUUUUCAUGAUUUUGAUUUUCUAAAAUUAAAAUAAGAGAUAAAAAAUAAAAGAAGAGUGAAAGUUUAAAAUUUAAAAUAAAUUGAAAAUUGAAAAAAAUAGAAAAAUGAAAAAUGGAGAAAUGGAAAAAAAAGAAAGGGGGUAAACAGGAAUUUUAGUAAAAGAUUGGAGAAAAAGGAAGAAAAUUGGAAAAUGAAAAAGGUAAAUUGUUGUUAGGUCCUUGUAGUUUGGUAAAAUUAAUUAUUUUAGUCUUUAUUUUAAAAAAAAAAAAAUUAAAAUAUCACUGUAUUUUAUAAAAUUAAAAUCCUUAUCCUUGUGUUAAAAAAAUGUUAGUCAAUUUGAAUUUUAGCCUAAAUAUUCAUAUUGUUUACUUUUAUAAUUUUUAAUAAACAUAUUGUCAACGGUGGACCAGGGAUC